GUCUUGCUAAGUUGCCCAGCUUGGCCUCAAACUCUGCAUCCUCUUAGCCUCUCCAGUGCUUGGAUUGCAAGCAUGCACCGUCUUGCCCAGUUCUUUUUUCUCUUCUUUUUAAAAAAAAUCUCUGUAAAAAGUAAGGCUCAUGAAGUUAGGUCUUACAAUUUACCUUUGUGUCCCCAGGCAGGAAGCUGUCAGACACAUGGAAGGUGCCCCAUAGUAUUUGUUAAAUAAGAACAACACAUAUUUAUUCCUUUUUAAAAAGUAUAGGACAUAUAAUAAACUAAGAUGCAUAUUGAGAGUGUGCUUUAAUUCAAUUUGGGAUGUACUUUUCUACAAAGCUCUUGCUUCCAUCACUGGAAGCAUCACUAUUUUAUUUCUCGGUUAUUUUGUAAAAGCACUUUGAUUAACCUUUCUUCCCUUUUUCUCUAGGGUACUCUCACAGGAAACGGAAGUUACAGAAUGCAAGCCUCAUCACUCUGGCCAACCUUCCUCCCUUGGGAUCAGCAAAUGCAGGAGCAGAGGGGAUUCGCUCAGAGGAGAACAUCUACACCAUCGAGGAGAACGUCUACCCCAUCGAGGAGAACGUCUACACCAUCGAGGAGAAUGUCUACGAGAUGGAGAAUCCAAGUGAGCAUUAUUGCUCGGCCAGCAAGGGGCAGCAAGCCUGACUCCCUCUGGGGUGUCACCUUUUCCUGCUGUUGGUUUCAGCCCCCUCAUUGUUCACUUUGGCAUUCUCCUUUUCAAAACCGAUAAAUGACUGGUUUUGCAGGUUAUACCCUCAGCCUCCUAAGAGACUGUUUCCAUUUUCAAAAGAUAAUUAGCUCACUUGGAAACUCACCUGUGACCUAUGCUGAACUUAGACAUAUUAUUACUUCUGUUUUCUAGCUAGCAUGGCUCCCCAACCCAGAGACUGCAGACUGUGGGCAUUAGAGCUCAGAAGUGCCUUUAUACAGGUUGAGAAGUUUUGGUUUUGAUACUAGGGAUUGAACCCAGGUUCCUGGCCUUAAAAAUAUUUUUUGUAAAAUUUUAUUUUGAGACAGAUUGUUGCUAAGUCAGUAAAUUUCCCAGGCUGGGUUCAAGCUCACCAUCCUUCCACCUCCGUCUCCCAGAACGCUGCUAUAAAAGGCAUAGGCCACAUGCCUGACUAGGAAUUCUUGAUAGAGGUCGCUGGAGCUCCAGGCAGGUCAGGGCUAUGAUAUGUCUACAAAGCUCCUGAAAAUAAGGAGAAUUGUAUGCUGAGAUACAUGCAUGUCUUUUUGAUAUAAAAAUGCAAAGGGGCCACUAACUUUCAUAAAAUCUGUGAUCCUUAAAAGGUUAAGCAGGACUAGAUCGGGACUACGUGAUCGUAAAAGUUCUUUUUGAGUCUCAAAGCUCACUCGUCUUUGAAUGCUGGGUCUCCUUCAGUGAGCACCUCUGCCCAGCUCUUUCCUGCCUCCUUUGGGAAGCAUGCUCAGCAGGUCUGAGGUGUGGACAGAGCUCCUGGGGACGAGGAAGCAGUCUUCAUGCUUGUGGCCAUGUUUGCUUGUGUCCUCGUGGGGAAAUACCUCUGACCAACUUCCCCAUUCAUGGAGAGAACUGGAGCUGUGCUCUCCUCCCCUCCCCUCCCCUCCCCUUCUCCCCUCUCUUUUCUUCCACCUUUCUUUUCUGUUUUAGGUACUGGGGAUCAAACUCGGGUCCUUGCGCUUGAGGGGCAGGCGGUGGAACCCGUGAGCUACAUCCCUGGCCCUCCACCUAUCUUUUUGUGGAAAAGUUGUGUUUUUCACUGAAGAACCCCAGUGGCCAAAACCAUAUUUUUUCCUGGUGGAAGAGGGCAGAGGCCUCCAGGAAUCCGUACUGUCAUCGGGGUCGGUUCCCUUGGUGGGAGACAGUGGUCCCGAAGUGUGAAUCCCAAGAUGACAGAACUAGGUUUGUCUGCUUAUUGCUGACUCCCAGUGCCUGGCCUGGUUCUCAUGCAGAACAGACCCUGACGCUUUGUCUUCAGGAGUUAGACUUCAAUGAGCAAUCAGGUUAGCUUUCUGGCAAGACUUCUCCAGUGAAGAGCUCAGAAGAGCCUGACUCUGUGACUUCACUUCGUGAACCCUCACGGGCGCCCCCAUCUGCUCCGAGUCAGCCGUGGUGGCCGUUGUUUCUCCGUAUGUCUCCCCCUUCAGGCCCCUGAAGGCUGCUGCUCCUGUGCCUGCUCCCUUCCUCCCGGGGAGUCCUCCUGGCUCAUAAAGAAUAAACCAGCUCUGUGGCCCUGUGGCUGCCUGAGCACUGCUCCUCCCAGGGUGAGGGCUCCCUGGCUGCUGUGCUGUUUGCAGGAGAGGUGGGUCCUGCAGAAUGAGAUGGCCUGCUUGGUCCGGUCAUCCUGGCCGUCCGUGUAUGAAUUUCGGUGUGUGGGCUGCAUCUAGGUGUCGUGGAGGACACUGGCUUUCUCAGGGAAGAUAUGUAAGGGAGAUCAUUUCAUAAAGUCCAUUAAGGCAGCAGCUCUCACACAGGCUGAAAAAUGAAUCACACAUGUUUCAAUGUCAUGAAAUUCUACUGCGAAAGAACUUCAAAACAUUAGGAGCAGAUCAAUGGUUUGCCCCCAUGUGAUCCUUGUCUUACAACAAUCUUUAAACAAGGGUGUGUAUACUAAGAUGAUAACUGCAGUAGACCUUGUAAGAGACUGUUUUACAUUAAUAGGGGAAUAAUGGUGCAGUUAAAAAGAGCUUGGUGAUGCCUGGCAUGGUGGUACACACCUGUAAUCCUGGCACUCAGGAGGCUGAGGCAAGAGGAUUGCCAUGAGGUCAUUGUCAGCCUGGACUACACAGUAAGUUCAAGGCCAGUCUCAACCAUUGUACAUAGCAAGAUGACUGUUUUGUGAGUGGGUCACCUUUGAUAAAUCUUUUAUUAUAGGUUUGAGUUUUAUUCUGACAAUUGCUAUAUGAUAACUUGAUACAUUUUCUUCUGUUACUUCUACAUUUUGCAUUUGUACUUUUUUGUUCAUUUUAUAUCUAAUUCAUGUAACAUAGAAAUUUUUUACACUCCAAUACAUGUUCUGUUUUGUCUUGCUUUGCAGGCACUGGGGGUUGAACAUAGGACCUGCACUGAGCUAUAUCCCCAGCCUUUCUUUUAUUUUUUAUUUUGAGACAGUGCCUCACUAAGUCACUAAGUUUCCGAGGCUUGGCUGGAUUUACGCAGAUGUAAACCUUCCCAGCUCCACACUCCGGGCCGAUCAAUGGUGCUGUGGCUGCAUCCUUCUGCAUCUGCACAGUGCAUUACAAAGACAGCAGGGCUACUUUUAGAAAGCAGAUGACAUUAGCUUUAAGAAUAUAUUUAAUAGGGCUGGGCAUUUAGCUCAGUGGUUUUGCCACCUGCUACACAAGUGCAAGGACCCGAGUUUGAUCCCUGGUAUCAAAAAAUAAAUAAAUAAAUAAAAAGAAUAUAUUUAAUGUAGCUAGGUAUGGUGCUGCACACCUGCGAUCCCAGCACUCAGGAGGCUGAGGCAGGAAGGCUGAGAGUUCAAGGCCAGCUGGGCUACUCAGUGUGUUCAAGGAAAUCAGAGGAGUACAUGGCAGGACACUCUCAAAACAAUGAUGACAACAACAAAACAACAACAGCACGUAUUUAUUUCAUUUGAAUCAAUACAUCUCUGUUGGCUUUCUGUUGCUUCAACAAAAUACAUGAAAUAAACAACAUAGAGGGAGGAAAGAUUUAGCGAUAGCUUCAAAGCUUUUAGUCCCUGUCAGUGGGAUUUAUUGCUUUUGGGCCUGUGGCAAAGAUGACCACCAUGGCAGGGAGCACAUGGCAGAAGAAACUGCCGGUGGGGGACAGAAGGGGGAGAGAGAAAGACACACACACAUACACACAGGUCUGCACGCAUGUGCACACACACGCACACACACACUGGGGCUCAACAUUCCUUCCAGGGCAGCCCAAGUCCCCUCCUUCCUCCAGCAAGGCCCCACAUCCCGACAGCAACGCCCCACAUCCCGACAGCAACCUCAGCUGGGAAGUAAGCUUCCCACACACAAGCCUUUGGGGACACUUAAGCUUCAGACCAUAGCAUCUAAAGUAUCGUCAUCUCAACACAGAAUGGACAUUAAAAUCAUUAAGAAGACAGUUUACGCCCUUGGUUUCAUUGUGAGCCUUAAGAAUCCAGUGGACAUUUUCCAUUGAGAUUGCAGCGCCUCUCAAUGCUGACGAGCCAGCCUGCUACAGUGCUCAGUGGCCACACACGUGAGUGGCUGAGGUGUCACAGAGCACAGUUCCCAGCAGGUCCCUCUCUCUCCUCUGUCUCUCCCUUCCUUCUCUCCCCCGUUCCACACAUGUGCAUACAUACUACAGCUUCCGUUUUUGGAUAACACGUUUUAUUUAGAUGGCCAUGUAGCCUUAAGUAGAAGACAUGUGUAUAUUCUAUUAGAGCGUUUCUCUAUGGAUAGAUACAAGGCAGCAAGAAAUACCGUUUAUACAGUAACCUGCAGCCAUUUAUAUGCCUGAAAGGUGUAGAGUUCUGAUGUGAAAUUGUUGAGUCAAAGGGUG
ensembl:lncRNA